GAUCAUUGGCUCAGGAUGAACGCUAGCUACAGGCUUAACACAUGCAAGUCGAGGGGCAGCAUGGUCUUAGCUUGCUAAGGCCGAUGGCGACCGGCGCACGGGUGAGUAACACGUAUCCAACCUGCCGUCUACUCUUGGACAGCCUUCUGAAAGGAAGAUUAAUACAAGAUGGCAUCAUGAGUUCACAUGUUCACAUGAUUAAAGGUAUUCCGGUAGACGAUGGGGA
rnacentral:rRNA from 1 species